CAUUUUGGCGGCUGUACGUGGGAGACCUUCGUGUCUGCCGAGUCAAUUCCCCUCGGAUUCCAACCUGCGUACAGCUGCCACCUUU
rnacentral:antisense_RNA from 1 species